GCUUGAUUAGUAGCAAAAAAGCUUAUUAGCAUACAGAAAGCAUGGCAAAUAAUGUAAGCCCGUUGGAGGAAGCUGCUCUUUCGGGAGAUAUAGACCGUCUCUACGCUCUAAUUCAGGGGGAUCCAGAUAUCUUGAAUGAUGCUGAUGCGAAACCAUUUGUUAGCACACCUUUGCAUAUUGCUGCAUCCGUGGAUCUCAGGACGAAUCCUGAGCUGGAGCUCAAGUAUCUCUACUUUGCCACUGAGAUCAUGGUGUUGAUGCCCUCAUUUGCUUUGAAGCUCAAUCAGCAAGGGUUCAGCCCCGUGCACCUUGCUAUCCAAAAUGGGCAUAGCAAACUGGCUCGUCGCUUUGUAGACAUGAACAAAGAGCUUGCCAGAGUGAAAGGAAGGGAGGGCACCACCCCUCUUCAUCUUGUAAGUCAAAUAGGAGAUUGUGACCUCUUAACUUUCUUUCUGUCAGCUUGUCCAGAUUCCAUUGAAGAUGUGAACGCCAGAGAUGAGACUGCUCUUCACGUUGCAGUGAGAUAUGAGCAGUUUGAUGCUCUCAGGGUGCUGGUUGGGUGGCUCAAGGGAAAUACCCGCAAGGGUGCUGCAAGACUAGAAAGAUCCAUGUUGAACUGGAGAGAUGUGGCAGGCAACACCAUUUUGCACCUUUCUGUUAUCAAACACGACAUACAGGCUCUUGAUUUUCUGCUAAAAGAUCGUUAUAUUAUAGAUUUAAAUGUGAAGAAUUCGGAGAAUAAGACAGCACUAGACGAAGCCACUGGUCGUAGUGAAGAUAUGAAGAGCAAAUUAUCAAAGGCUGGAGCAAGACUUGGCACAUCACUUGAAGAUAGUUCCAUGUUGGCAGCUGCUACAUCUGAAAUGUACAAAAUCUUAGAUGAAGAUUUGUUUGAAACUCAAACAAUCAUAAGGCGUAUCAGAGGGAACAUAUCAGACAACCAACGAGAUGCUUAUUUGGUAGCGGCUACUCUGAUUCUAACCACAGUCUAUCAAUCGGCGCUGAGCCCCCCUGGUGGACUUUAUCAGGCCGACGCCAGUAAUCUGAAUGCUACUUCAUCACUCAAUUCUGCUGCUAGCAAAUCGGUCUUGUCCACCGUUAACUUCGCUUCCCUUGCAUUGAUUAACUCGUCUGCCCUCUUCUACGCAAUUAUAGCAUUUCUGGUAAUAAUACCAGAGGGCAUGAUCGGCGGCAUGCUGGUAGCUCCAAGUGUUUACGUUGGCAUCAGCUAUUUCUAUUCUUUGGCAAUUAUAAGCCCCCCACGGCAUGAAACAACCGGGCACCCGAUUGCUGGUCAAGUGAUGCUUCUAAUUGUCAUCAUCUUCUCUGGAAUUGUCAUUGCACUCCUGUUGAAUGGUUUCGGUUUCGGUGCAUACUUAGGCACAACACAAUUAACAGCACUCGAGAAAUACAUGCCGCGCCUGCCUAGAAGGUUUACGAGUAGAAACAAUAAUGCAAGUAACAUAUAGUUAUGUCGAAUACAUAUUGCACGUAACGUGCAUUUCUAUUUAAUAUUUUAGUUUUGAGCAGGCAACUACUUAAGUUCAGAGUUGGUUCAGGUGGUGGUUUUCAUUCAACAACUCCUCUAUCAGUUAUUAAGGUAUGGAGAAGAAACUACUGAAGGUCGGAGCAAAUCACGGUUCAUCUAUUGAAGUUAGACCACCCACCCUCGCAGAUGAGCUAAUUUAUUGCUUACCAUCAGCAUCUUCGUUGACUUUGAAGGCGAAAAGAUUCUACUCCAACUUAAAGUUAGAACUACAUAAGUUUAUAGUUUGAUCAUGUGUGUACCUAUCCUUGCAUGUUUAUUGGUUGUUAUGUCUCAAUUCAGGCUUUAUUUUCAUGCUGUUGUUCUAUCUGGUUUAAUAGAACUGUUUG